AUCCUCUUCCUCCUCAUCUUCUCACUCUCACAAACACUUUCUCUCUCCUCCUUCUCUUCUUCCUCUUCCCAACACUCUCAAAUUCAAACCCAUUUCAUCUUCUGCAAAAAACCCACCUUGAAUUCAACCUCAACCAUGGCAGGGAGCUUCAAUCAAACCCUUAAUCACAUUUAUUUUAACUGGGGUUAUCAUCUGGUUCAUCCCAACCCCUCGCAAUCUUCCUCUCCACCAUUAUAUUGUUGGAAUCAUCACUCAACCUCUUCCUUUAGGUGCAGUCAUUUUAAUGGAGUACAGCCGGCACCAGCGACCGGAGGAGGGGGGUUUUGGGCGGGCCGGCCCUGGGGGCAGGUGGUCAGGCUUUGAGUGGGUGGUAGUGGGGUGGCUGACAUUUGGAAGGGUGUUUGGCUCUUUUUUUUUUUAAUUUCUUUUUUUUUUGUAAAAAUUAUCAAAAAAAAAAGAAGCCUUGACCAAUGAUUUAAUGACACGUGGAUUUUUACAUGGUAUAAUAGGUAAGGUGACCAGUACGGUUCAUUUUGGGAGAAUAAAGGUAAACUUGUGUUUAUUUUGGGCAGAUUUAAAGGUUGGUUCAUUUUGGGAGAAUAGAGCAAAGGUUGGUUUAUCGUUGUUAAAUUUUCCUUUUAUUUUUGUUUGUUUUAGGUUGUAAUAACUCUUCCUAUUUUAGGAGGAACGUUUCUCCCUUAAAAUAAAGAGUUUUUCUUCUUUUUAAGAAAGAUUUUUCUCAUUCGAAAGAAAAUAUUUUCCUUUUAUGUUUUGAGGAGGAACAUGAAUUCUUGUUUGAUGGAUUGAUGUAAAAUUAAUUCAUGGGUAAAGAUUUGUGUGAGAUUGAAAAAGAGGUUAAUAUUUCAAUUACAACUAGACGAAUUAGACGAGAUUUUUGUUCACGGCUACAACAGAUUGAUAGACCCCCUUGUCGAAGAAGGUUGUGUACCACAACAAUGUGAAAAAUGCUAUAAUGCGACAACGAUUGUAGUUUUGCUGAAAUAAUUUUUUAUUUGAUUCAAUUAUCAUGUGCUCCCUCCUUUUUUCUUGAGUGUCCCAUUUCCUAAAAUCGAUAGUUUAUUUAUUUUUUUAUUUUCAAGCAUCCUAAUAUCAGAUUUAGAAACUUCAUUCACACAUUACUGUAUUAUUUCUCUCUCCACCUUUUGACCCACCAUAUAAAAAAAAAAAACAGUAUAAUACUCCGUAUUAUUUUACUCUUUUUGCCUAAAACUCCAUGUACACUUCAAUACUUGUGAAUAGUGCCGUUCCAUAUUUACCCUACAAAAAUUCAAUUACUGUCUUGCUCUUUGCUGCCAUCUUUACGUAUAAGUAUUUCUUCUCUUCCCCUCUCUCUCUGUUUCUCUCUUCCAAGUUUUCCAUUAAUGCGCACUCUAAGCUUUCUUUCCUCCAUUCAAGUUGAGGAUUAUCAGAGAGGCAACAUGGAGAAAUGUCGGGUAUAUGUUCAUCUGUCAAAACUCAGGUAGAGGACCUUGAAGUUUUCAAGAGGAUUCUGGGCAGGUUGUACAUAUUGAAAAUGAGGCAGACUACUCUCCAGCUCAGAUAUUUGAAGGUUUAUAUGGAUAGGUUUUGCAAAGAAAGAGUCUGAAUUUCUGAAGGAGAUUGAUAUUAGCCCACACAAUAUCGGUUGUUAUGUACUUAUGUGAGCUGAAAUUGGAAAGCUAACGAUCCUACUUCAGACUGGUAUGCCUCAUUUAACAGUUUAGAAGUUCCUUUCAUUUUUUUUAAUUUUUUUUUUUUUUUUAUAUAUAAGAAGACAACGUUGAUGCAUAUUCUAUAAUAACCUCUAACACUUAAGUAUAACUCUUAUGUUGUAUUAUGUUAUUUGGUGUGCCUUAGAAUUUUUUAUCCUAUCAUAAUAUGUGUGAUCUCGUGUAUGUGAAGUGUACUAUUUUCAGCCCCGUUCCUAGAAAUUUAUUGGCCCUAGGCAUAAUGUAAGAAAAGGGCCCCUUACAUAAACAAAUUUUUUACAUGCAAUAGCUUUAAAUGUAAGAAAAUCAAAAUAACUUAAAUUAUUUGAAUAGUAAGUCUCCAUACACAAUACUGGAGUAAUAACUUUGCAUAAUAUUUCGGUAAUUGAAUAAAUAGGAAGAGUGUAAUUGAAAAGAUUAAUAUUUUGAAACAGAUUCUCAUAAAAAUCGGAAGAUUAGAAGAAGAAGAAGAGGUUAUAUUGCAUAAUUAUCUCCACCUAAUUGACAUCUAAGUAAUUUAAUAUUAAUUGCUAAUAAAUUGCAUUUAUUAUCUUUUUUAAAAGUAGCUAUUUUUUUAACGAGUAAAAACUACAGUUUAGACAGUUUAAAUUCUGCACUAUGCAAAUUGAUUUUUUUUUUGAAUUUUUGGGUCCCCUUCUAGCGUGGGCCCUAGGCGGUCGCACUCGAGGCCUACCCCUCCGGGCCGGCCCGGACUAUUUUAUUGUCUCGUAACAAGUCUAUUUGGUGUGAUUGGUGUUUGUAUGUGAGGUUUGUGUUUUGGCACAGUUAGUGUGGCAAGGGUGAGAGUAAGUUGUGCAUGUGGACUAGAUAGACGUUACUUUUAUGUAAUCAAUCAUGUGUCUGCUUUGUAGUGGGCUGUAUUGUGUCUGUAGUAUGUGUUGUUAGAUGACAGGGGGUGUGAGUGAUGGUGCAGAACAGCAAGAGUGGAUCAAUGAAGCCAUAUUUAACUCCAUUCUUCCUAUGAUUUGAUGCUUUGUCUUCGCCUUAGCAUUAGGUAAUUUUUACUUUUAACCCCUCUCGCUUUUCUAUGUAUUGCUAAUACCUCUGUCAAUUAUUAUGUGCAACUUUAAGUAUUAUUUGUGAGAUAUUAUUUAUUCCAAAGUUGCACAUAAUAAUAAUUACGGAGGUAUUAUAAUUAUGUCGAGUUCCAUUAAAGUUUUUGGAUAGCCUAUUUGCUCAAAUGGUAGAGCAAUGUGUCAUUGCACAUAUAUGUGGGUUCGAGUCCUACAUAGGUUGGAACUAUAAAUAUAAUGAUUUUAAAGUUUCAAAAGGAAAAAAAAUAAAUAUUUUACACAUUCUAUCUAAUUAAGACGCAACUCAAUAGGUCAAGCUAGAUCUUUUUGAAGCUAGAUCUUUUUGAAGCUAGAUCUGGUCGCCUCUUGAGAAUUAUUGUAUUAGACAGCUUUAAAAUACCAUACGUGUUGCUUCUAAAAAAUAGGUGACUCAUAAAAAUAGCUUACAAAGCGCCUCUGAAGAAACAACACUCAUAAAGCCAUUAAAGAAACCUUCGACUUAUAAUCUAUAAUAUAUGUGUAGAAAAGCUACUCAUAAACUCUUGCUCACCUAGUGUCGCUACCUAUCAAGUUGCCCAGGAUGCUACACAUUAAUAAAUGGUUUAAAGGCGACUUGAUAGGUGUUUUUUGGUUCUUAUGAUAAAAAAUUUAGGGGUGAGCAAAUUUUUUAAGGGUGAGAUAAUGUAAAUAAUUUUUCAGGGUGAGAUAUAUCUAAUAAGAUGUUUAGCAAAAUUAAAUACUAAUUUGUAAAAUAAAAACUUCCUCUGUUUUGACGCGUUUAAUUUAGACAUACAUAUUAAGGAGAAGAGAGAGAAUGAUAAAGCAAGUGGGGUACACAAAUAAGUACAAGGUAUAACCUUAUAAGACUUACCCAUUACACAAAAAGGAAAUGUGUCAACUAAAAUUAAAGUUCCUAAAAAAAGAAAUACGUGUCAACUAAAAAAACAGAGAUAAGUAUAUGCAUUAUAGGUGUUUGGUAAUAAAAACACGUCAACUUCAAACCGGCAAUACAAAAUCGAAUCCUAACUGGUCCGCACGCAUUGCGCAGGGGCAUUCGAACUAGGGAAUAUAAAAGUUCAAUUGUGAACUGGUAUACUCCCUCCGUUACGAUUUAGUCGCUACAAAAGGGUGAACUGGGGACUCCUAGGCAAAACUUUUAAGGGGUUGGAUUAAAGGGGAGGGGUAUGUAAUUAGUGGAAUCAAAAAGGGAGGGAAAAGAAGUGGUCCUAAAAAUAAAGGUGACCCAUGUGACUUUUUUUUUCCUCUCUUCUCUUCCCUCUUUUUUUGAUUGCUGCUAGGAAUGGCAAUGGAUCGAAUUCGGGUCGGAUGGAGCUUCACCGGCAUCCACCCGAAUUAAUCAUCCGCUCCACCCGUCACCCGCAAAACCCAUCACCCGCAUCCGAUCCAUCCGUCAUCCGCGGAUGAAACGGGUGGAUCGGAUGCUUAACGGGUGAUAAUUAUAAUCCUACUCUAACUAUAAAAUCUAUUAUGUUAGAAUUAAAAAAAAAAACUUUUAGCCAAUUUUAAACUUAAAAAGUAAACCAU